AAUGAACAAAGUUGCACCAUUUAUCAGAAUCAGAACCUGUAAAAACAGAAAAAAUAUAAUAUUUUUAACCUUUUUCCAUCUUUGAACUAAUCAUGUGUAAUGAAUUAUUUAAUCGGGAAAAAUAACCACAUUUAUGCCGAAAAUUGUUCCAGGUUUUUUUCAGUUUUCCAGAUUCCUGCUGAUAAAUGUCGUCCUUUCGGUUUUAUUUGACAGAUCUGAUGACUUUUAGAGCCACUGCUGGGUUCAGAGGGUAAAAUCUGGUGAUUCUGAGGCUGGAUCCAGAUCGUCUUCUCCGUCCCUCUCUGGACGUCUGACCUCUGACUGAAAUGAUCUUCACUAAGACGCCUUCAGAGGAAACUGUGGACGUCUGAGUGUCUGUCUUUCUGCUGACAGAGACUCUCGAGGGUGGUUGUGUUUUAUUUAUCGUCCUCGUUGACCCUGUCAGCCUCAAAGUCUGUCAGCCAGCGACACAUUCAGCUCAGAGCAGCUUUUGAACGUCUUCAUCCUCCGUCCUGCAGCCAGACGGUUUCAUCUGAUGUGGAGAUAAAACAAGUAGCUGCAGGACUUUCUACUGCAGUGAAAAAUGAACCAACAGUGAGGAAAAACGAGACGGGAGCAAAGACAAAACGCUCAGAAUUCAGGAAUCUCAAAUAAAAAGGGAAGCUGCAUCAUAUUUCUAGCUGGCUGCAGCAGCGUCUGACUUGUGGAAAUGAAAAACGAGGCGUCGGGGAGGAUUUUCCGGGUUUCGUCGUCCUCUUUCACCUCUCCCUCGCUCUGCUCUCGGUUCUGCCUCCAGGACUUUUCCUGCUCUUCAUCCCCAGACAGUAAGAAGUCAAUCUGGCCGGAUCGAAGCUCAUCAGCGCCUCACACUCACAGUCUGCUGAUUGGGGUCAGAGUGAAAAAGGACAGCGAGCCACAGAGAGUCGAUAAUUAAGCCCUUUCCUUCUCACUCGCUUUGUUUCUGCUCAGUUCUCUGCCUUCAAAUGUGAGCUGAUUCCAUUAAGGAAGACGAGUGGAAUAAAAGAGAAAAAACCUUCA